rnacentral:lncRNA from 1 species
CCGUGCGUUGCUGCGGGAAUAGAAAUUGUGUGAAAAAUUGUAUUUCAAAGGUAUAUACACCUCAAGUUAUAUCACAUUUAAUUAAAUUACCGCAAGAACAUAUUGAUGCACUUAAUAUGGAAAUUCAUAAACUAUUUGACAAUAUGAAAUCAAGUAAUCUCCGAAGAUGAUAAUGGACCUUAGAAAGUAGAAAUCCAAUCUCAUAUAUAUUAAAACAAUUAACAAAUUAUUAGUGAAUGAUCACAAAAAAUGUAUAGAAAAGUAAUUCAAUUCCUUAACUUCAAAAGGGGAAAGAUAAAGAAAAAACAGGUUCUAAGUUCUGAGUUCUUAUCAUACUGAAAAUUAUGAUAUUGUUUUUAACAUGAACUUGGGUUGAUUUCCAUCACCCGAAAAUUCCAAAAACAUAUAAAUAGAAAACUGAGAAGUAGCACAUACCAGUUUUGUACAUUACAUUUCAGCACACAUUCAUGCGAAGGACUUAGAACUGAAGAAAGACACAUGAAACCAAAAUAAACACCUGUAGUCCUGAUGGAAAUGGAACAUGAGGAUAACCUACACCUGAGAAAUGAACUGAGAAGUUGAAUUAUGCUGAAAAAAAAAUAGAUGCUUUAAGAAGAUUCAUUAUCUUUGCUGAAACCACAAAAGAUGAAAUUAGAGGAUCUUGCAUUUGGAAUUCACCUGAUUGAGCACUAAGCUCCAACAAUUGGCUCUGAGUAAGUGAAAGGAUGAUAAAUUAAGAUACGCUAUAGAGGUCAGGUGCAUAAUUACCAUGAUAUCAGUUGAAUCUAAGAAGAAACACAUAAACAUUAGUUCCGUCCAAUUUGCACAAAAAUUGAAAAACCAAAUAAGCAAAUACAAUUUUUAUUUGAGAUAUGAAAACAUAUUACAGCAAAGACCAAAAAGAAGGCACAACCAAGUUUAAUAACCUAAAAUCCAUCAACCCUAAACCUUAAUUCCGUCAAAAUACCCAUAAUACCUGCAAAGAAACUAUUUGCAUGAUUCACAACCAAAAAGAGUGUAAAUACACCAAUUUUUGCUCUUAAAUUCAAAAGAGGAGAAAAUUAGGAUUAGAGUUUCACGAUUUUUACCCAAAUUUGGCUACGUACAAACCUACCCAUAGCCAUUCUAGUUUGUACAGCCUCAAGUCAUCAUCACCCCAAAGAAUGUUAAACAUGUAAAAUGGAAAUGAAUCAAUUCCCUAAAAUUUUGAAACUGGGGAUAUUCCGAAUAUGGACAAAAACCUAGAAUAUCUUACCUUCUUGUGUAUAGCACGUCCUCCAGAAUCCACAGCUGAAAACAGAAUGAAGUUCAGAGUAUGAUGAAGAAGAAGAAGAAAUGGAAUUGUCCAUAUGAAAAAAAAUGAGAGAACUAAGAGGGUGAAAGCAAACAUACCCAAUUGCAAUCCAAUGAUUUAGC